UACGAAGGGGGCUAGCGUUGCUCGGAAUCACUGGGCGUAAAGCGCACGUAGGCGGAUUGCUAAGUCAGGGGUGAAAUCCUGGAGCUCAACUCCAGAACUGCCUUUGAUACUGAAGAUCUCGAGUCCGGGAGAGGUGAGUGGAACUGCGAGUGUAGAGGUGAAAUUCGUAGAUAUUCGCAAGAACACCAGUGGCGAAGGCGGCUCACUGGCCCGGUACUGACGCUGAGGCACGAAAGCGUGGGGAGCAAACAGG
rnacentral:rRNA from 1 species